rnacentral:sRNA from 1 species
GUUUUGCGUGAGGGAUAGCAGUGGCAUCCUUUUGUGAAGUCCCGAUUGCUAUCGGGACUUCACAAAAGAUAUAGCGCAUAGCCCGACGGCUU